rnacentral:tRNA from 1 species
AGUCAUAUAGCUUAAUAGGUAGAGCAACCCAUGCCGGAUUCAUAAGAUGGAUCUUGGGUGGUUUCGGGUUCGAAUCCCGAUCUGACCU